CCUACGGGGGGCAGCAGUGGGGAAUAUUGGACAAUGGGGGCAACCCUGAUCCAGCCAUGCCGCGUGUGUGAAGAAGGCCCUCGGGUUGUAAAGCACUUUCAGUGAGGAAGAACGCCUGGUGGUUAAUACCCAUCAGGAAAGACAUCACUCACAGAAGAAGCACCGGCUAACUCCGUGCCAGCAGCCGCGGUAAUACGGAGGGUGCGAGCGUUAAUCGGAAUUACUGGGCGUAAAGCGCGCGUAGGUGGCUUGAUAAGCCGGUUGUGAAAGCCCCGGGCUCAACCUGGGAACGGCAUCCGGAACUAUCAAGCUAGAGUGCAGGAGAGGAAGGUAGAAUUCCCGGUGUAGCGGUGAAAUGCGUAGAGAUCGGGAGGAAUACCAGUGGCGAAGGCGGCCUUCUGGACUGACACUGACACUGAGGUGCGAAAGCGUGGGUAGCAAACAGGAUUAGAUAGCCCAGUAGUC
rnacentral:rRNA from 1 species